CAUUAUCUUUGCAUUUAAGUGAGCGAUUAUAAUCUAUUAUCUGGUUAUAUUACUCUUCUAGGACAAACUCUAGCGAUGGCUCAAGGCAGGAGAAAUAUGGAAUGACUAACAAACCCCGAGGAGAGCCUGAGGAUGCGCAACGAUCGAACAAAAGUGAAAGAGGUGUCUUCCGAAGUAUCAAAGUAUAUCCACUGGAACCAAAUGACAAGAGACUUAAUUAUGGACCACCUACAGAUUUACUUAGCAAGCUGUCCCUGGUUUCUGAAGUGAAAAAACCUACAAAACUACCAUCUAAGGCGCAGCCAAUUUCCUAGGUUCAACUAUCUCAGCACUCAUAUAACAACUUAAGAUUCUUUUGAGUGGGUAAAGGUUUAUUGAAAGAGAUUCAGAAAAAUAUUUUCUUUGAAUGCUAUUUUAAAGCUUACAUUAGACUAUAAUUAUAUUUUCAUGUGUUUAUUUAUAUUUUAUUUAUUAUUUUAUU